rnacentral:rRNA from 1 species
UACGGGGGGGGCAAGCGUUGUUCGGAAUUACUGGGCGUAAAGGGCCAGUGGGCGGCCAACUAAGUCGGAUGUGAAAUCCCCAGGCUCAACUUGGGAACUGCAUCCGAUACUGGAUGGCUUGAAUUCGGGAGAGGGAUGCAGAAUUCCAGGUGUAGCGGUGAAAUGCGUAGAUAUCUGGAGGAAUACCGGUGGCGAAGGCGGGUCUCUGGGCCGAUACUGACGCUGAGGAGCGAAAGCGUGGGGAGCAAACAGG